GGGAACGGCGGGAAGUACAUUGCUGGACGCGCCCCAGGCGCACCCAGAAACCCUUUGUGAACUUAUACCUUACUGUUGCCUCGGCGUACGCUGGCCCCUUGGGGUCCCUCUGUUCCACAGAGGAGCAGGCGCGCCGGCGGCCAAGUUAACUCUUGUUUUUACACUGAAUCUCUGAGAAAAAAAACAAAAUGAAUCAAAACUUUCAACAACGGAUCUCUUGGUUCUGGCAUCGAUGAAGAACGCAGCGAAAUGCGAUAAGUAAUGUGAAUUGCAGAAUUCAGUGAAUCAUCGAAUCUUUGAACGCACAUUGCGCCCUCUGGUAUUCCGGAGGGCAUGCCUGUUCGAGCGUCAUUUCAACCCUCAAGCCUGGCUUGGUGUUGGGGCACUGCCUGUAAAAGGGCAGGCCCUCAAAUCUAGUGGCGAGCUCGCCAGGACCCCGAGCGUAGUAGUUAAACCCUCGCUUUGGAAGGCCCUGGCGGUGCCCUGCCGUUAAACCCCCAACUCUUUGAAAAUUUGACCUCGGAUCAGGUAGGAAUACCCGCUGAACUUAAGCAUAUCAAUAAGCGGAGGAAU
rnacentral:rRNA from 1 species